UCGAGAGACCCAACAUAAACCCAUUUCAAUAACAAUCGCUACCAACCUUUUGCACCAGUAAUGUGUGUGUAUCAGGCGCCUACGUCUGGAGAUUAUACUAGAUUAUCGGAGUAGAUUACCAGAGAUUAAACAGAGGUUCUAAUUGCAAUAGCACUAUGCAGGGUAAUGCCUGGUCUCUGUCUGAUUCACUUCAUUUACCUCAGAUCAUUAUCUUACUCCAGUCUGUUGCUCCACAUCAAGCCCAACAGUCCCAUUGACAUGGCUGACAUUUCACAAUGUCUCCUGGCCAACCAGCUGUCUGUUCAGGGCCCUAAAUCAGCCAGAUGUGCUGAUAUUUUAAUAAUCUGGUUAAGUGGUGGUACUGACGGACAAAAGAGAGAAAUAACAACCUAAACUGCAGACUCUGCCGUUUUCUGGGUGGUGGUGAGAUGGUGCUCUGUCUCUCUCUUGUCGUCACUCUCUGCAUGACACAGCUCCGAAAUAAAUACGGAUUUGACUGGCUCAUUAUCCAAAGUCCCUCUAUCUAGACUUCUAAAAUUACUAGAGGUCUACACCUCACCACCCCUCUAUCUACAGUAUAUACAUUAGUACUACUAGAGGUUUACACCUCACCACCUUUCUAUCUACAGUAUAUCCAUUAGUACUACUAGAGGUUUACACCUCACCACCCCUCUAUCUACAGUAUAUCCAUUAGUACUACUAGAGGUUUACACCUCACCACCCCUCUAUCUACAGUAUAUCCAUUAGUACUACUAGAGGUCUACACCUCACCACCCCUCUAUCUACAGUAUAUCCAUUAGUACUACUAGAGGUCUACACCUCACCACCCCUCUAUCUACAGUAUAUCCAUUAGUACUACUAGAGGUCUACACCUCACCACCCCUCUAUCUACAGUAUAUCCAUUAGUACUACUAGAGGUCUACACCUCACCACCCCUCUAUCUACAGUAUAUCCAUUAGUACUACUAGAGGUCUACACCUCACCACCCCUCUAUCUACAGUAUAUCCAUUAGUACUACUAGAGGUCUACACCUCACCACCCCUCUAUCUACAGUAUAUCCAUUAGUACUACUAGAGGUCUACACCUCACCACCCCUCUAUCUACAGUAUAUCCAUUAGUACUACUAGAGGUCUACACCUCACCACCCCUCUAUCUACAGUAUAUCCAUUAGUACUACUAGAGGUCUACACCUCACCACCCCUCUAUCUACAGUAUAUCCAUUAGUACUACUAGAGGUCUACACCUCACCACCCCUCUAUCUACA